CCUACGGGAGGCAGCAGUGAGGAAUAUUGGUCAAUGGGCGCAAGCCUGAAGCAGCCAAGUCGCGGGAGGGAUGACGGUCCUAUGGAGUGUAAACCGCUUUUGUAGGGGAGCAAGGCCCGCCACGUGUGGCGGGCAGGAGAGCACCCGAAGAAAAAGCAGCGGCCAACUCCGUGCCAGCAGCCGCGGUAAUCAGUAGGGGGCAUGCGUUAGCCGGAUUUACUGGGUGUAAAGGGAGCGUAGUCGGUGCGCCAAGUCUGGAGUGAAAUGCCGCAGCUUAACUGCGGAACUGCUUUGGAAACUGGCGAACUAGAGUGCGGGAGGGGUGAGCGGAAUUCCUUGUGUAGCGGUGAAAUGCGUAGAUAUUAGGAGGAACACCGGUGGCGAAGGCGGCUUACUGGACCGUAACUGACGUUGAGGCUCGAAAGCGUGGGGAGCAAACAGGAUUAGAUACCCGGGUAGUC
rnacentral:rRNA from 1 species